GUUUAUGCAGCUGAGUUGUGAACAAGGACGGAAGUUAGCAAUUUUACAAAAUUAUUUUUUUUUAAACCAAGGAAAAAUAGGUUCAGAAAUUACGGUGCCAAAUGUGUUUUAAAAAGAUCUCACAAUUGAUGUUAUGACAGACCAUUGUUAGCUGUAAAAUUCGUCGUAUUUGCAGUUGUUAUUGACAUGCGUGGUGUUUUGACGCUUUUUUAAAGUUAUUAUGCAGUGUAUUAAAAAUAUCUUAUUAUGUAAUCAUUCCAAAUAUAUGUGAACAUAUAUACAUGUAUGUGCAAUUUUAUUUACUUGUACUAUGUGUGAAUUAUAUAUUAAUCAUUAUAUAUCUGACACAUCAUAAUAAUGAUAUGCAUGUAAUAAUAUAAAUCUAUUUGUAGAUUACAUAUACACGUAGUUAUUGUUUUGAAAUUAAAGGUCUAACCUUUUAAGAGUUCAGAUUAAUCUCUGCCAACACUACAAUCGAUAUGAAAAUAGACUGAAGAUUCGCUCUUUUUUAUGGUACUCGAUACACAAACUGUAGCGAGUAAGCGAGCGGAUCUAAAAAAUUUAUUUGAAUUAAAUUGUCAACAUUACUAACUAAAUAUUCCCUUUACUCUGACUUAAAUGUUUUGCCAUUUUCAGAAAAUCCUCUUUGUAUUUUGUGUUUGUGUAAUUUUUAUUACCAAUAAAAACGUAUGUGUACAUUGUUGAAAUGUGUAAAAAUUUAGAAAAAAAUCUCCACGUUGGUUUUAGGUAGUAUGGAACACCUCCAUAUUGUGACAUACUUCCUAUCAAAAUAAGCAAUAAAAUCUAAUGAUAUGAUUUUUUUUAUUGAUCACCCCCCCCCCCCCACCCCAUCCAAUUUUAAUAUAACAGCGUUGUCUUUUAUAAUUGUUACCUUUCCAAAACUUUUAAAAACACGCUUUUUGGUCAAAUAUUGUAAAAUUAUGAACUUUAAAAAGGUGAUUGUAUUUUCAUUUUAUAAUGUACUUUUAUUCACAUUGAUAAGUGACCCAUACCACCUUAAAAACUGUAACCAACCAUUUCAUUUUACUUGGAAUUUCCAGUAAAUAGUUUCAUUUUAAAAUAUCCAAGUCGUAAAUGAUUUUUUGUGAACAAAUAUUAGAUGUGUAAAUUAUUGAAUAAAUAAUCAUAAUC
rnacentral:misc_RNA from 1 species